rnacentral:rRNA from 1 species
UGGGGAAUAUUGCACAAUGGGCGAAAGCCUGAUGCAGCGACGCCGCGUGAGGGAUGACGGCCUUCGGGUUGUAAACCUCUUUCAGCAGGGAAGAAGCGCAAGUGACGGUACCUGCAGAAGAAGCACCGGCUAACUACGUGCCAGCAGCCGCGGUAAUACGUAGGGUGCGAGCGUUGUCCGGAAUUAUUGGGCGUAAAGAGCUCGUAGGCGGCCUGUCGCGUCGGAUGUGAAAGCCCGGGGCUUAACCCCGGGUCUGCAUUCGAUACGGGCAGGCUAGAGUGUGGUAGGGGAGAUCGGAAUUCCUGGUGUAGCGGUGAAAUGCGCAGAUAUCAGGAGGAACACCGGUGGCGAAGGCGGAUCUCUGGGCCAUUACUGACGCUGAGGAGCGAAAGCGUGGGGAGCGAACAG